rnacentral:rRNA from 1 species
UACGAAGGGUGCAAGCGUUACUCGGAAUUACUGGGCGUAAAGCGUGCGUAGGUGGUUUGUUAAGUCUGAUGUGAAAGCCCUGGGCUCAACCUGGGAACUGCAUCCGAUACUGGAUGGCUUGAAUUCGGGAGAGGGAUGCAGAAUUCCAGGUGUAGCGGUGAAAUGCGUAGAUAUCUGGAGGAAUACCGGUGGCGAAGGCGGCAUCCUGGACCGACAUUGACGCUGAACGGCGAAAGCUAGGGGAGCAAACGGG